rnacentral:rRNA from 1 species
GACGAACGCUGGCGGCGUGCUCAACACAUGCAAGUCGAACGCUGAAGCUUGGUGCUUGCACUGGGUGGAUGAGUGGCGAACGGGUGAGUAAUACGUGAGUAACCUGCCCUUGACUCUGGGAUAAGCCUGGGAAACUGGGUCUAAUACUGGAUACGACAUGUCACCGCAUGGUGGUGUGUGGAAAGGGUUUUACUGGUUUUGGAUGGGCUCACGGCCUAUCAGCUUGUUGGUGGGGUAAUGGCUCACCAAGGCGACGACGGGUAGCCGGCCUGAGAGGGUGACCGGCCACACUGGGACUGAGACACGGCCCAGACUCCUACGGGAGGCAGCAGUGGGGAAUAUUGCACAAUGGGCGGAAGCCUGAUGCAGCGACGCCGCGUGAGGGAUGACGGCCUUCGGGUUGUAAACCUCUUUCAGCACGGAAGAAGCGAAAGUGACGGUACGUGCAGAAGAAGCGCCGGCUAACUACGUG